rnacentral:rRNA from 1 species
AGCAGCCGCGGUAAUUCCAGCUCCAAUAGCGUAUAUUAAAGUUGUUGCAGUUAAAAAGCUCGUAGUUGAAUUUCGGGAUCAAUGCGUCGGUCGUGCCUUCGGUACGUACUAGCGUCAUUGAUUCCUCCCUUCUGAAGAACCGUGAUGUCAUUAAUUUGGUGUUACGGGGAAUCAGGACUGUUACCUUGAAAAAAUUAGAGUGUUUAAAGCAGGCUAACGCUUGAAUACAUUAGCAUGGAAUAAUGAAAUAGGACGUUCGAACCUAUUUUGUUGGUUUCUAGGAUCGACGUAAUGAUUAAUAGGGAUAGUUGGGGGCAUUAGUAUUCAAUUGUCAGAGGUGAAAUUCUUGGAUUUAUUGAAGACUAACUACUGCGAAAGCAUUUGCCAAGGAUGUUUUCAUUAAUCAAGAACGAAAGUUAGGGGAUCGAAGACGAUCAGAUACCGUCGUAG